rnacentral:tRNA from 1 species
GCGGUAGUAGCUCAGUUGGUAGAGCAUUAGCCUUCCAAGCUGAGGGUCGCGGGUUUGAGCCCCGUCUUCCGCU